CGGUGGUAUAAGAUGGACCCGCGUUGGAUUAGCUAGUUGGUGAGGUAACGGCCCACCAAGGCGACGAUCCAUAGCCGGCCUGAGAGGGUGAACGGCCACAUUGGGACUGAGACACGGCCCAAACUCCUACGGGAGGCAGCAGUAGGGAAUUUUCGUCAAUGGGGGGAACCCUGAACGAGCAAUGCCGCGUGAGUGAGGAAGGUCUUCGGAUCGUAAAGCUCUGUUGUAAGAGAAAAACGGCACUCAUAGGGAAUGAUGAGUGAGUGAUGGUAUCUUACCAGAAAGUCACGGCUAACUACGUGCCAGCAGCCGCGGUAAUACGUAGGUGGCGAGCGUUAUCCGGAAUGAUUGGGCGUAAAGGGUGCGUAGGUGGCAGAUCAAGUCUGGAGUAAAAGGUAUGGGCUCAACCCGUACUUGCUCUGGAAACUGAUCAGCUAGAGAACAGAAGAGGACGGCGGAACUCCAUGUGUAGCGGUAAAAUGCGUAGAUAUAUGGAAGAACACCGGUGGCGAAGGCGGCCGUCUGGUCUGGAUUCUGACACUGAAGCACGAAAGCGUGGGGAGCAAAUAGGAUUAGAUACCCUAGUAGUCCACGCCGUAAACGAUGAGAACUAGGUGUUGGGGGAAUAACUCAGUGCCGCAGUUAACGCAAUAAGUUCUCCGCCUGGGGAGUAUGCACGCAAGUGUGAAACUCAAAGGAAUUGACGGGGGCCCGCACAAGCGGUGGAGUAUGUGGUUUAAUUCGAAGCAACGCGAAGAACCUUACCAGGGCUUGACAUCCCGAGGCCCGGUGUAGAGAUACACCCUUCUCUUCGGAGACCUCGGUGACAGGUGGUGCAUGGUUGUCGUCAGCUCGUGUCGUGAGAUGUUGGGUUAAGUCCCGCAACGAGCGCAACCCUU
rnacentral:rRNA from 1 species